rnacentral:rRNA from 1 species
UGUAUAAUGGGUCAGCGACUUAUAUUCUGUAGCAAGGUUAACCGAAUAGGGGAGCCGAAGGGAAACCGAGUCUUAACUGGGCGUUAAGUUGCAGGGUAUAGACCCGAAACCCGGUGAUCUAGCCAUGGGCAGGUUGAAGGUUGGGUAACACUAACUGGAGGACCGAACCGACUAAUGUUGAAAAAUUAGCGGAUGACUUGUGGCUGGGGGUGAAAGGCCAAUCAAACCGGGAGAUAGCUGGUUCUCCCCGAAAGCUAUUUAGGUAGCGCCUCGUGAAUUCAUCUCCGGGGGUAGAGCACUGUUUCGGCAAGGGGGUCAUCCCGACUUACCAACCCGAUGCAAACUGCGAAUACCGGAGAAUGUUAUCACGGGAGACACACGGCGGGUGCUAACGUCCGUCGUGAAGAGGGAAACAACCCAGACCGCCAGCUAAGGUCCCAAAGUCAUGGUUAAGUGGGAAACGAUGUGGGAAGGCCCAGACAGCCAGGAUGUUGGCUUAGAAGCAGCCAUCAUUUAAAGAAAGCGUAAUAGCUCACUGGUCGAGUCGGCCUGCGCGGAAGAUGUAACGGGGCUAAACCAUGCACCGAAGCUGCGGCAGCGACACUGUGUGUUGUUGGGUAGGGGA